rnacentral:rRNA from 1 species
GAUGAACGCUGGCGGCGUGCUUAACACAUGCAAGUCGAGCGAGUGAGUUCUUCGGAACGAUCUAGCGGCGGACGGGUGAGUAACACGUGGGCAAUCUGCCUCAUAGAGGGGAAUAGCCUCCCGAAAGGGAGAUUAAUACCGCAUAAAAUUAUCGAGUGGCAUCACAUGAUAAUCAAAGGAGUAAUCCGCUAUGAGAUGGGCCCGAGGCGCAUUAGCUAGUUGGUAAGGUAACGGCUCACCAAGGCGACGAUGCGUAGCCGACCUGAGAGGGUGAUCGGCCACAUUGGGACUGAGACACGGCCCAGACUCCUACGGGAGGCAGCAGUGGGGAAUAUUGCACAAUGGGGGAAACCCUGAUGCAGCAACGCCGCGUGAGUGAUGAAGGUCUUCGGAUUGUAAAGCUCUGUCUUUGGGGACGAUAAUGACGGUACCCAAGGAGGAAGCCACGGCUAAUUACGUGCCAGCAGCCGCCGUAA